rnacentral:tRNA from 1 species
GUCUCUGUGGUGCAAUAGGUCUUGUGCAUUUGGCUGUUAACUGAAAGGUCGGUGGUUUGAGCCCACCUAGGGAUG